rnacentral:rRNA from 1 species
GAUGAACGCUGGCGGCGUGCCUAACACAUGCAAGUCGAACGGAGUCGUUUUGGAAAUCUCUUCGGAGAUGGAAUUCUCGACUUAGUGGCGGACGGGUGAGUAACGCGUGAGCAAUCUGCCUUUAAGAGGGGGAUAACAGUCGGAAACGGCUGCUAAUACCGCAUAAAGCAUUAAAUUCGCAUGUUUUUGAUGCCAAAGGAGCAAUCCGCUUUUAGAUGAGCUCGCGUCUGAUUAGCUAGUUGGCGGGGUAACGGCCCACCAAGGCGACGAUCAGUAGCCGGACUGAGAGGUUGAACGGCCACAGUGGGACUGAGACACGGCCCAGACUCCUACGGGAGGCAGCAGUGGGGAAUAUUGCGCAAUGGGGGAAACCCUGACGCAGCAACGCCGCGUGAUUGAAGAAGGCCUUCGGGGUGUAAAGAUCUUUAAUCAGGGACGAAACAAAUGACGGUACCUGAAGAAUAAGCUCCGGCUAACUACGUG